AAAGAAUAAUUUUAAACGUUAUUUUGUAUACUCGUUUUGAAAUAUUAAUAAAUUGGCGCAUUCAUAAGUGUAAGAUUAAAUUUUAGUAGAAUCGAUAAUACGAUUUUUUCUUUAAACAUAAGAAUACUUUGAUCAUUUCUAUCUCUUCUAUGCUCUGUCUCAAAGAAUUCUUGUAAAUAUUGAUAAUGCACGAAAGAACUUUUUAAUAUCAAACAAAUUUCAAAUUUAUAACGUUAUAUAAUGAUUAUAUUUUAUUUGUAUAUCAUUGUUCAUAAGAUGAAUCAGAAAAGAUUUCGAGUAGAGUAGUCUAUUAGAAUUAUUAAAAUCACUUAAUUACAUUGUACAAGAAUAUAUCGAGGAAUUUAAAUUGGAAGAUAGAGAACAUUCCAAUUCAGCAUUCAAUGCUGAAGCAAUUUAAUGAUGUACGUUAAAUCGAAAAAAGAGUAUUUUGAAGAAUAUUAGAUACAAUCUACGCUACUUCGAGCCUAAAAGUUUUCUUAACUCAGGGAAAUGAAUCGAUUGUUAAAACAACUCAUAAAUAAAACUGUACUAGUACAGUUGUAUGUAUAAUUUUUAAUUCGAAUUAUAAUUAUUACAUAACGAUUUUCAGAUUUUCCGUUUUCCCUAAUUAAUUCUUAAAAAUAUAUUUUAAUAAAAUUAAUUAAAUUUUAUCAAAUAAAGAUAUGUAUACAUCAAAUCGACACAUUAAAAAAUUAAUUACAUAUUAUACUAAUAUCUUCAUUAUCUUACACAAAUAUCAAUUAUGCAUAAAUUCCAUCGCAUAAAUCAAUUUAUUACACGACCACCUAAGACCAAAUCAAUUGAAUAGCGUAUUCUUAAAAAUCAAUGAUUAAAAAUUCGUAUCAUCACGACGAAGAUUAACAGCUCGAAUCCUCGAACAAUUAACACGUUAUAAAAGACGCUACGACUCGAAUAUUAUUCGGUUCGGUGAAUUAUACUUCGUGGAUUCCCUGCUUGAUCGUGAACAGCCGGAUGGACGAGGAUCCUUAUUACAGGAAAUAGCUUAGGAGUCAGUCGUGUCAUUAAAUAUGCAAGUCGUGGCCGUGCAGACACGGCUCUACCUCCACGAACGUAGGCGCAUCGUCGAAAACUUCUAAUCCAAGAAUCCGGGAUACACCUCUUCGCUCGUUUAUUUCUUCACGUUUUCGCUCUAUUCUGGAAAUAAUUAUACCUCAUUGAUCGUUAUCGAACGCCUCCGAUCGGGUCCCAGCUUUUUCCAACUCUCGUUUCGAUUCCGUUCACUUCGUUAAAUGAGAUGUUAUUCGCUUUAUUUUUUUUUAAAGCAAUUUAAUCUUGGUUCCUACAUUGUUUAUGUUGCAUCUAUUUUCUUCUUUUAUUCCCAUCGAAUAUAUUUUUAUUUAAAUCCGGAUACUUUACAUAUUCAAAUACUUAUUGUGUUUACCAACUAUGGCUGAUGCUGGUUGCUCUACGUAUUUACACUUAAUUAGACUUCGACCCUGAAGUCGCAGAAUAUCUGUGUCGAGCCUUCAUCAACGUUGGAAUGAAAUAAUACCAGUGAAGCAAAGUGCAUCUUGUAUAAUAAUAAUCCGUAUAAUUAAUCUCGCUCAUAAGUAUCGAUAAAUUAAUAUCGAAAAAUAUUCGAAAACUCUAAUAUUAUAAAACUAAAUAAUCGAACGAGACGAAAGAAUAAAUUGUUAAUUAGUUAGAACGAAACAAGAGCAAAGAGAUUUCCAAAUGGAUUUUUUUACGUGUCGAUUAAUCUAUCGUAAAUAUUCCACAAGGUGGUUAAAUUUAAAUGAAUAAAUUUCGCGAGAAUAAAUUAUUAAUGCGGUAAUUAUCGCGUUUAACAACAAGUUUGAAAAAACAAAACGAGGUAACCGUGAAUAUUUUGCAAUUCAAAUUAUAAUUAUCUCAUUUGUCAAUAAAUAAUUAUCGUACAAGAAAAGAGUGUAGACCCCGAGUCGAAAUCUGUCACCGAACCAGCACGCCGGCAGUAUGGCUCAAAGUUUCCUCGCCGACGCGAUUCUCUGUUGCUUGGAGCUGUAAUUACACGGAAGCGCGUCAAGAGAAAACGAAGACGAAUAAUCUGUCCAAUACUGCCGAGAAAAUUCGCGAAUAGACUCGAAUCGAGAAUCGGUUGUUCCGCCGCUCAUUAAAAUCGAUCGUUUCGGAAGGUGUGGGCAAUGUGGCGCAAGUAUGAUGGGCAAAGGAGGGGCGCGCGGCUUGCCGCGACGUAGCUACGUGUUGACGCGCGAUCGGACCCGGGACCAGUGACUCUUUCUCUGCCGGCAGCAUCCGAUCGUCCCGGGCCCUCCGCUCUCUCUCUCUUGUGCGAACCCCUCGAAAACGAGCGCGCGUCGUGGCAAUGCCGGACAACUCUUCGUGGCCGUUCGAUCCACCGAUUUCUGGAUCCAUGGUGAACUUGUGAGUCGAAUGUGACUUGUGUGGAUAUUUUUUCGAGUGCGAUUGCGCGAAGGAGCGGCAGGAUGUCCAAGCUUACUUUCCGGGGCGCCACGAUUUCCGGAUCGAGAGAAGAGGAGAACUGGUGAUUCCGUUGGUGAGAGGAUAUUUUUUCUUUUUUUGAGGAUUGAAGGAAUCCUUAAUGGUAAUCGAUCGUAGAGGCGUGAAGACAAGAGGAAAAAUUGAAUAAGUUGUGGAGCAUGUAAAGCUCGUGCUGUUAAUAUCGUGCAUUUGUACAUGCAAGAGUAACGCUGAUACAUAUUCAUAAAGCGCGUACAGAUGAAAUGGAGUAUCUACAAUAAACGUCGAAUGACGCGAGCCUCCUACUUUUCCACUCGAGCAUCUUGUCCUAUCCUAAACACCUGUCUCGGAAUCGACGUUUCAAUACCACUUAAUUAUACCUUGUCUACUAUCCCCUACACUUGCAAGCUUCUCAACCAGUCCUGGCUACUUAUAAACCCUACAACAUCAAACGUUCGAGCAUUCUCCAGGCAAAACAAGCUCUUAAUCUAUUCAAUGUAACCCAGUAUCCUCUUUCUGAACUUCAACGAAAGUAAAGUGAAAAAGCGCGAAGGGCGAUGUCCUGUCCUGAUUUCUUCCAUGGAAAUCGAACCCAAGUUCUCUCGUUAUAUAGCGUUCAAACAGACUCGAUUCGAUCGAAUUUAAUAAUUUUGCAUUAACGUAUAUCGAGUAUAAACGUUACACGAUGAUUGAAUGAAAUAAAUUUUCACGAAAGCGUCGAGUGCAAUCUAUCCGAUGCUUUAAAGACACAGAGUAUCCGCUAAAAGUAAAAGAGAAAGACGAGAAAAGAAUAAGAAAAAUGAAAAUAAGCACGACCCCGAAGAGAUGGUCCAAGAGGUCACUGGAUUCUUAAUGUGAUUUACGUUUCUCCAAUGGCGGCUUUGUCUAGGCAACUGGUUGUCAGGCGCUGGUUGAUUUUCGCAAUAUAUUACGCGGCAAUAUAUUGCGGCCAUAAUUCAAUGGCGACGAAAUGACGCGCGAAGGUGUUCGAUUCUACGAACCAGAGGACCGGAAAUUCCGUUCCCCGGGACGAUCGUAUCCGUUCCCACGACCACGUGCUCGCCUUCGCGAGGAUUUGGCUUGUUUUGCUCGAUUUUUUGGCUGAUGGACCAUCAGGUGUCCCCGAAGAAGAGAAAUGAUCGGGGUGAUCGACGUGCGUAAUGGUUGGACGGAAUGUGAAUGAGAUUGGAUGGAAAGAACGAGGAUGGGAUUUGAAAUGGGAAAUGAUUCGAAGCGUGAGAAAAAUCGUCGAUUUCUCUAAUUGUGAGUGAAAUUGACAAUUAAACGGAAGAGGUAGAUGGGUAUGGAUAAAGAAAUAAUAGAUGUAUAUGUAUGUUAUAGGAUGUAUCGUUAAAAUUUACCAUGCAAAUUAAACAUGACAAUAUUUUUAUGGUUUAAGAAAGAGAGAGUAUUUUGUUUUGUACGUAUCGUACGUGUAUGUGUGUUUCUCUAAUUGUAAAUGAAAUUAUGAGAAUUAAACAGAAUUAAAUAGAAGAAAUAAUGGAAGAGGAUAAGGAACUAAUAUAUAUGUAUAUUGUGGAAUAUUUCAUUAAAGUUUAUAUACGAGUUGAGCAGUCGACAAAAUUUUUAUGUAAGAAAACUUUAUAUUUAUUUAUAAGAUUUCAAAGAAAAGAAAAAGUAUUUUGUCAUGGUACAUAUAUUACGCGUAUCUUCAAGAUUUUGCUAAGUAUUCUAAACGUGGCAGAAUUGUGGAUAUGGCAUUCGAGUAUAAAAUAAUAUUCGACCAAACUCGUCAAGUAAAAUCGUUUCUUCGGAUAAUUUAUUAACGAUAACAAUAAUAUCAACGAUGUGUUUAUCAUUUUACAAAUUCUACCAUUUGUUUGCCUUACCACUCGAGUAAAUAAGUACGAAUUUAUUAUCGUUACAUAAAACAAUUUAUCGAUAUUUAUCGUAAAGAUGCGAAUACAUUCGAGAGUGAAAUUGUCCCGAAUCAUUCUCGAGACUUUUCUUUUUUUUUUUUUUUUUUAAUGAACAUUGCAUUAAAAAUGAAAGUUACUUGCAACACGAUGUCCAUUUGUGAGAAAUAUUCUCGAGAGCAAGUAUUUUAUUUACAUUUUAAUACACGACUUGAUCAAAAGAAAUCCAAAAUCCAAAUCCACUGUGAAUUUGCUUGCAUCAAAAAAUUUCCCUGAAACGAAUACAAAGCGAUUUUUACGCAUCUUUAAACGCAUAUCAUCCUGAAACUUAAAUCAUAAAUUCAAACUUAUUACGCAACAGUGAUUCCUAAUUAAAAUUAAAAUAAAGAAAUUUGACACGAAACGAAUAAUGCAAUAUAAACAAAACCACGUUUAUAUCGAUAUAUUAAUAUAUUCAUGAGAUAUAUAUAUAUUUAUAUACGCAAAAGUUAAUUUACAAAAAUAUCAAAUGAUCAAAUUUCAAUUUUCUUUAUACUUUUGUAUUCGUAUUUAUAUUUUCAAUCUCUACAACAAAUAUCGUACACCAUCUCGAAAAGUAGCCCAUGAACAACACCAACACCCCGUAUUUUACCCACGUUUUAUAAAAUCACACCGUAUUCGCUGCGCUUUCUCGUUUAUUCCAUAUCCAUCGAAUCCUCUCCGCAAUAUUUCCCCAGUAUUUAAAGCGCGUUUUAGAGGCUUCUCACGCGUGUGUGUCUCCUCCGCCUUCGUUCCUCGUGGGAAUCCCCGUGAAUUCUCGUGGAAUAGCCGGAUAAUUAGCGGCGCGCGCGAUGGCGUCUGGACUAAUUUCAUCCACGAGUUGCGAUUCCAGCGAUCCUUCCUUCGUAAACAGGAAAUACGGUUAGCGCGUGAACGCGCGUUCCUUCUCGUGUAAUUGAGCGUGCAGCGAGUCAUGGGGGAGGGAAUCCCGUCACGUUAAAUGGCCUCGUCGCGAGGUUUAUCUUAUCAGGGGUGGCAGAGGAUGGUGAAACAACCAUCUCGCUGUACAACGUGUUCUUUAACCUGGUAUAUUCAUGAAAAUUUGGAGAGCUUUGACGCGAAAUCGUGGAAGAAUUUUUUUUUUCUUCUUCAGAUUUUUAUGAAUUGUUCAAUCAUCGUGGAAAAUUUGAAAUUGGAGGAGAAUUUUAAUUUCUUAGAAUAACGAAUAUGCACGAUAAGUGUGCAAAAUAGUAGGACAUAUAAAUUAAAAAACAUUAUUAUUAAUUAUCAACCAUAUAUAUUGUAGUACAAGUUAUGAUAAAUUAUAAAAAUAUUUUCUUCACGGUGACGUUAAUUACUGACGUUCGUCGAUAAAAAUUAAUUUAUACUUUGAAAAGACUUGAACGUCAUACGAUGUUAUCGAUGCAUGUUAUUUAUUUUGCACGAAGACGAAUUUUAAUUACAAAUUUAAGAAUUUAAGUAUUUUCGAAUGAUGAAAUUGGAUUCAUCUUUCAAACAAUUAAUUCUAAUCUAACGAUUCCGUUUUGGGAACAAGGCGACAAAUGGGAUGCGAAGAGGUCACCACCCGGUUUUCGAGAGUGAAAUUUUCUUGGCGAACGAAAACUGAUCUCGUACAAGCCGUCUUUUAAUUGGUCACGUUCGAUCCGCUUAUCAGCGGAGACGCAGGAUCGACGAGACCAAGUAUCCCCUACAAAGUGUUCCCGUGGGAACGAUCGUUAAUUGUCCAUAAAAUGCACUCUCACCUGGCUCUGUGCUAAAAGCAGAACCGUGUACGCCAACGGAGAAUUACGUGUCCGCGAGAGGACAACGAUCAUCCCGAAAGAAAUGGCCAAUCUCUGCACCUCUGCUCCUUUUCUGUCACGUUUCUGGCCUCGAUGAUAUCUCUCUCUCUCUCUCUCUCUCUCUUCCACCUCUAAUUCUAAAUUUGAUUCAACGAGCGAAUUUGGAAGAAUUAAUUUAUCAUAAAGGCCGGAAUAACGAGCGAUUAAAUUAAACGGCGAACGAGAAAUUAGCGCAAUUUGUUGCUUCCUGUAAAUUCUUUUUUAAUUAGCUAAUCCUGUUAAGCGUAUCCUUUCGCGAUAAAAUUAAAUUCAAUUAAUUCGCCAACUUGAUAGCCCAGGUAGUUGCAACUAAUUACAUCAGUUCUCUAAUAUCCUUAAUUGCAGUAGGAUAUAGGCUACGAAUUUGUCUACUCGCGAGAUAAGUACUUAUUCGGAUUAACUCGAUUCGAGGAAAACUCGACGUUUUCACGUUGACGAUAAUUCAUGGUCAUAAUCAAUACCGAUAUCGGAAUGUAAUAAUUAUGUUCAGUAAUCGGUUUCAAGUUAAACGAUAUAAUAAUUUUCUUUCCUAAUCGGAGCUCUUACUUUUCACUCUUUCCUCUGGGCGGAGAGUAGAAGAGCAAACUGUUGUUAGAAAGCACGCGUAUCUGUUUCAUAGAAACACGCACACGGAUUAUCUUAAAAGUCAAGUAACAAACCAUAACUGAAGAUAGUUCCUCUGUAAAAAUGUUCGUUUCACGUUUAUUUAUGAAUUAUUACCGAGAAACGUUGCCACCAUUACUCGGUACCGUACAAUCGUAUAACCGGAACAUUACUGAAACACAUUUGAGCAAGCAUAAAAAGUUUCCAAGUUACCUUUUCCAAAGCCUAAAAUCUGUGUCAUUGUUUAGAAGCAUCCGUCCUCGUCGGCAAGAAAGGCAAAUAAAGAUGUAGAGGGGCCGGUAAAUAGUGGGAUAGUAGAUGGUAAGGAAACAGAAAAAAGUCUCGGUAGAGAAUGGAGGAACCGUUUAGCCAAUGUAAACAUUUUAUUACACGUCGGGGACGCUUAUAUUCCCGCGAGCCGACCGAAUGAAUCGCGGCAUUCCUACGGCGAGCAGUUGGCAACGAGGGAAAGAAGAAAAAGAAGAGGAAGAAGAAGAAGAAGAAGAAGAAGAAGAAGAAGCCCCCCUUUUCCUUCGAGAGCAAACAAACCGUGUAUCUUUAUUACAGUAAUAACUAUAAUCUCGAGGUCCCAACGGAGAACCCUUCCUUCCAUAUACACGAUACACACCAGGUCGGCCUCUCUUCCUCGAAACUGCGUAAUCAGUUGCCGUGUCUACUUCACUGAAAGCAACCUCUCCUCACUUUGAAUCACCUUACCCGACAUACGGUAGGCAAGAGCCGUGUGCAACGCCUCGGACUUACACACGGGCAACGCCGCUGUUGCUGCUCACCGUGUCAUUAGAGAAGGGCACCGCGAUUAGAGUCGAAAUAGACUCGCGAUCAAAUUGAUUCGGUUGCAAUUUCCUUGCGUCUCCGCUUAUAGUCCAUGUAAAUUCUGUCUGGGGAGGUGCACUCUUAACCGUGACCUAUCUUUUUGGUUUCAGACGAUUAUCGUUGGUCGAGAAUGGGUAUGAUUUAGGUCGACGAUUCGUGACGGUAAUGGCGGUUGCUUGCUCGUAUGUUCGCGACACUGAGAAAGGAAAAAGGGACUUAAUUGGGAAAUAUAUAAAGCAUGCGAUAAGGGGGAACAACAAACCGGUUUACUUUAUUAGAUGAAAUACUCGGAUCAUUAAUUUUUCUUUUUCAUUAAUAUUGUGUCAAAGAAUGAGGCAUUUUAAGAAGCUUGAAUUUGUAAAUCAUCUAACCAUCCCCUACCUUAGUUAAAACCGAUGGUAUCUCGAGAAAGAUGCCACAUCGACGUGCGCGACAAUCGACCGAGGACUCGUUACUUUUAUGCGAGGAUUUACAAUCACAGGGUGCUGUGUAUCUCAUCCACGCCGAGAGGGUUGGCGGAGAGGCGAAUAUCUCUCGUUAAGACAUUCGCGCCUGUUAAUGGACCGGCUCGCGAGUACACGGCGCGGAAGCGACUGGCGCGCUCGUAAAAUAUGACGCGUAUCUUCUUAUUAGGAGUAAAUUGUAUCCUCAUUACCUGGCGCGCCGCCAUCUCGUUCCAUCUUCUUCUUCUUCCUUCGGAUCGCUUUCGUUUUGCUUAAUCGCGAUAUGGCUCGGAUGGCACGGCCAAUCAGACCGCCGUUUGCAAUCAGAUUCCACGGAAUAUUAAUUGCUUGUGUAACCUAUCUCUCUCUCUCUCUCUUUCUCUCUACUCGAUAUGAUACGUAACGUCGUAUUCAGAGGCUGAAAGUUGGAAAAGACAAGAGGGUAAUUAAAAAUUUAUUCGGAUUAAAUUACUUAUAAUUCAAAUUUAGUUAUUAUUGUAUUUUUGUGUGUUUGUUUUUUGCGUCUAGAAUCGAUUCUACAAAGAUAUAAUUAACUUUAUGUGUGUAUAAUUAGCUUAUGCAACGGAAUGUAUAUUAUAUAUGUUAAUAUAUUCAUAGAAUAUUUUUGAAGCGCCAUAAAAAUAGAAUCUUUAUCUUACUUUAUAUACGCAAUAUAUAUAUAUAAUACGCUAAUUUAAAUUGCUUAUAUUUACUAUUUAAAUUGCAAAUAUGCCUUAAUUUUUAUAUCAAUUUUUGUUUCGGACUUUGGAACCUUUAAAAAAAUAUUUUGCGAAUAUAUUAACUCUUUUAAUCUACGAGCAUUACAUAGAAUUUAAAAAAUAUAAAAGCUAUAUACAAACAUUACACGUCAAUGUUUAAAGUUUCUCACAUUCGACUUUCGAUUUCGCUAAUUCUCCGUUAUAAUAAAAUUAUAAGAAUGUCGAAUUAAAAUUUAAAAUCCUACGAUGACAAGAAUAAACGGAUAUAUUGAUUUUUGAGAUAAAUCAAACGUAUUCGUAUUUAUGGAUAGAAGAAGAAAAAAGAUGCGAGCAUAUUAUUUAACAACAGAGGAUGGUGAUCGAGUAGGACGUAGAAAGGCAAUUACGCGUGGGGAUUUCGCUCCCUGAUGGAUCGAUAUAAAUAAAUUGGCGGUUGUGCGGAUACAAAUAAGCCGGACGACCAUGAUUGUAAUAGCACGUUGACGAUAUAUAUAUAUAUAUAUACAGGUCGGUCGAUCGUUAUCGAUCGAUCUGAUCGGUUAGAAUAUUCGUACGUAACCCGGCAUUCGAACCACCAAACCGAUAAAAAUCGUCCAAUAGUAAAAAAAAUUUGCAGCAGCCUGUCACAGGAUUUUCAACUACGGAACUUUGUCGAGGAAGAUAAAUCUUGGCCUCUCCGCGAGAUUUGAUUAUUUAUUAGAAUUCAUAGACGAGAGAGAGAGAGAGAAUUAUGGACCAUUGUAUGCAAAGUAGACGCGUAACCAAAAUACUCCCCCGCAGUUUGACUUGAUUCCAACCGAUCCUGUACCUGCUGGAUAUUGGAUUAUUAUUUCGUAAUCCAUAGCGAAACAGGGAACGAGAAAGUGUUUGCGAUUUUGAUCGAGAAAUUCGAGUGUCAAGGAGAGGAAUUUUAUAAUUUUUCGAGAAAUGAAACUUUUAACUCGAGUGUGAUUGCACAUUAAAAGGGCUAGAGUCGAGUUGAGUUUAUGAUGAUCACCUAACGGUGAAGCAUAUCCGAACGUUCGAGCCUGACGUAACUCAGUGAGCCUUGGCAACAAGGUUCAUGGCGAGGUAAUGAGAGUUUGAAAUAAAGUAACCCGAAAAAGGGAAGGCCAUUAUUAAGAAACAUUUUAUUAUAAAUUGUGGUUUGAGUCUCUUAUCUUACCUCUGUGAUAAAUUUGUUUUGACUCGAGAAGUGAAAGAAGAUGUAUCUAAAUAUGUAUCAUAGAAUAUUUCCAAUAAAUUGAUGACGAAUAAAA